GGAGCAGCCAUGUCCGGCCAAGGCCUGGCGCCCACAGACCCUCCUCGGGCCGCCACCAGCGAGCCUGUGCCAAGGCUGGCGCCUCUUCCGGCGUCUUCCCAGCAGCCCCCGCGCGGAACCGGAAAGACGCGCCGCCCCGCCGCCUGCCCCGGAAGAAGGAUGCCCCGGGCCGCGCGCCAGACUGGCGCGUGUCCCCACCUCGGGCUGUGCCAGGGCCCCACAGGGCUGGGAGAGGAGGGCGCUCCGGGGGCGGAGGGCGGAGGCCGGGGCCCUAGCGAAGACCCCGACUCCCUGAGGGCGGGCUCUCCUUUGUCGCCCUUUCCUUUUGCCCUUGGGGACUGAGCGGGCCUGAGAUGAAAACAAUGGCCUUUCAGCUUUUCUCAGGAAUGUGUCUCUGGUCAAGAAUGUGGAGGCAUCCAGCAAGCACACAGGCUGUUACACAAACACGGAGACCCAGGAUCAGCUGGUCCAAAUGCCCAUCCACACCAGGACAGAUCUCGUGUAGGUGUCCCCUCCUUGCUGGAGUGGCCAGGUGCAACUGAUACAGGCUGGGGCUCCAGUGUGCAGCAAAGGAGCACUUUCCCUGUUUAGGAAACACUUUCAUAGGUCCCUGGUGUCCCCAUGCAAAGUGACUUGCUAAUUGGCCCCAGCUAUGAAAGUGGCAGUCAGGAUUUGAACCCACUUCUGCUGACCCAAAGCCUGUGAGUGGCACACUCAGCUAUCUGGCCUCUUGGGUCACAGGAGGCCAGAGAGGUCCAGGACCCAUCCAUUUUACAGAUGAGGAAACUGAGGCCCAGAGCCUGGAGCCAUACACAUAGCUCCCUGGGGUAUUUGGCCUAUGAUGAUCUCCCCUCAAAGUGGCUGCAUCUCUCUGUCUGGCCAUCCCCGGUCUCGUGCAUCUAUUGACUCACCUCCCUUCAUCAACCAACACACACACGUGCUGAUUACCUGCCGGGGCCCUGCACUGUGGGGAGGGGCUCCAAGGUCAGAGCACUUGGGAUGUAAAGAGAGCAUGGGCUGCCUGGGGGGAGUCCCACCCCCUCCCCAACACACGCAUUGUCCUCCACACCCCUGGAUGGGAAUAAGAUAAUUUGCCUUGCACGAGGCAAAUUGCUU
rnacentral:lncRNA from 1 species